rnacentral:tRNA from 1 species
GGGCGAAUAGCUCAGAUGGCAAGAGCGCCUGCCCUACAAGCAGGAGGUCGCAGGUUCAAGUCCCGCUUCGCCCACCA